rnacentral:rRNA from 1 species
AGAGUUUGAUCAUGGCUCAGAUUGAACGCUGGCGGCAGGCUUAACACAUGCAAGUCGAGCGGGGGAAGGUAGCUUGCUACUGGACCUAGCGGCGGACGGGUGAGUAAUGCUUAGGAAUCUGCCUAUUAGUGGGGGACAACAUCUCGAAAGGGAUGCUAAUACCGCAUACGUCCUACGGGAGAAAGCAGGGGAUCUUCGGACCUUGCGCUAAUAGAUGAGCCUAAGUCGGAUUAGCUAGUUGGUGGGGUAAAGGCCUACCAAGGCGACGAUCUGUAGCGGGUCUGAGAGGAUGAUCCGCCACACUGGGACUGAGACACGGCCCAGACUCCUACGGGAGGCAGCAGUGGGGAAUAUUGGACAAUGGGGGGAACCCUGAUCCAGCCAUGCCGCGUGUGUGAAGAAGGCCUUAUGGUUGUAAAGCACUUUAAGCGAGGAGGAGGCUACUUUAGUUAAUACCUAGAGAUAGUGGACGUUACUCGCAGAAUAAGCACCGGCUAACUCUGUGCCAGCAGCCGCGGUAAUACAGAGGGUGCGAGCGUUAAUCGGAUUUACUGGGCGUAAAGCGUGCGUAGGCGGCUUAUUAAGUCGGAUGUGAAAUCCCCGAGCUUAACUUGGGAAUUGCAUUCGAUACUGGUGAGCUAGAGUAUGGGAGAGGAUGGUAGAAUUCCAGGUGUAGCGGUGAAAUGCGUAGAGAUCUGGAGGAAUACCGAUGGCGAAGGCAGCCAUCUGGCCUAAUACUGACGCUGAGGUACGAAAGCAUGGGGAGCAAACAGGAUUAGAUACCCUGGUAGUCCAUGCCGUAAACGAUGUCUACUAGCCGUUGGGGCCUUUGAGGCUUUAGUGGCGCAGCUAACGCGAUAAGUAGACCGCCUGGGGAGUACGGUCGCAAGACUAAAACUCAAAUGAAUUGACGGGGGCCCGCACAAGCGGUGGAGCAUGUGGUUUAAUUCGAU